CGUAGCUAGUCUAGGUACUUGAGGUUUGUGUCGUGCCAGUGACUGUCCACCAGGUGGAGGUCAAGCUGGCAGUCACAGGCCCCAGAGCCCAAGGCCCCUGGGAUGUGCAGGGACACCGCAGGUUCAGGUCAGUCAUUUAUAAGGAUCUCAAAGCUGCAUUGAGAGAAUGAGAAACAACUGCAGUUGUGAUGCGCUUUGCACCCCUUUGUGGUGUGGAGCUGGCUGAAGCUGGCUCUCUGGACUGGCGUUUUCAUCUUCGGGUUCUACGAUAGAUACUCCUGUCUCCUGCUGCCCACCAUCGGGCUGCUUGGCAACGCGCGUGGUGCGGCUGCGAGAACCCACUCUCUCCCUCCAGGCACCUUCUGAUGACCCAGCAGACACUGAGGAACAUGCCCCCGAUAGUGUUUGUUCAAGACAAGGCAGUCGCAGCACUAGCUGAGAUCGACCGCUUACUGGUAGUAGCUGACUUUGGACCCCCAGAUGAA